GGCGAACCGGGGGAACUGAAACAUCUAAGUACCCCGAGGAAAAGAAAUCAACCGAGAUUCCGAAAGUAGCGGCGAGCGAAAUUGGACUAGCCCUUAAGCUUUACACGCGUUAGACGAACGGUCUGGAAAGUCCGACGAUACAGGGUGAUAGUCCCGUAGUUGACGACGUGUGUUCAGUGAAAUCGAGUAGGGCGGGACACGUGAUAUCCUGUCUGAAUAUGGGGGGACCAUCCUCCAAGGCUAAAUACUACUGACUGACCGAUAGUGAACCAGUACCGUGAGGGAAAGGCGAAAAGAACCCCUGUGAGGGGAGUGAAAUAGAACCUGAAACCGUGUACGUACAAGCAGUAGGAGCAGGCUUUGUCCUGUGACUGCGUACCUUUUGUAUAAUGGGUCAGCGACUUAUAUUCAGUGGCAAGGUUAACCAUCUAGGGGAGCCGUAGGGAAACCGAGUCUUAACUGGGCGUUCAGUCUCUGGAUAUAGACCCGAAACCAGGUGAUCUAGCCAUGGGCAGGUUGAAGGUUGAGUAACAUCAACUGGAGGACCGAACCGACUAAUGUUGAAAAAUUAGCGGAUGACUUGUGGCUAGGGGUGAAAGGCCAAUCAAACCUGGAGAUAGCUGGUUCUCCCCGAAAGCUAUUUAGGUAGCGCCUCGGACGAAUACUACUGGGGGUAGAGCACUGUUAAGGCUAGGGGGUCAUCCCGACUUACCAACCCUUUGCAAACUCCGAAUACCAGUAAGUACUAUCCGGGAGACACACGGCGGGUGCUAACGUCCGUCGUGGAGAGGGAAACAACCCAGACCGCCAGCUAAGGUCCCAAAUUACUACUAAGUGGGAAACGAUGUGGGAAGGCUCAGACAGCCAGGAUGUUGGCUUAGAAGCAGCCAUCAUUUAAAGAAAGCGUAAUAGCUCACUGGUCGAGUCGGCCUGCGCGGAAGAUGUAACGGGGCUAAGUAGUAAACCGAAGCUGCGGCAAUGUGCUUUUGCACAUUGGGUAGGGGAGCGUUCUGUAAGCGGUUGAAGGUGUGUGGUAACGCAUGCUGGACGUAUCAGAAGUGCGAAUGCUGACAUGAGUAACGAUAAAGGGGGUGAAAAACCUCCUCGCCGGAAGACCAAGGGUUCCUGUCCAACGUUAAUCGGGGCAGGGUAAGUCGACCCCUAAGGCGAGGCCGAAAGGCGUAGUCGAUGGGAAACGGGUUAAUAUUCCCGUACUUCUUACAAUUGCGAUGGGGGGACGGAGAAGGCUAGGUGGGCCUGGCGACGGUUGUCCAGGUUCAAGUG
rnacentral:rRNA from 1 species